rnacentral:rRNA from 1 species
UACGGAGGAUCCAAGCGUUAUCCGGAUUCAUUGGGUUUAAAGGGUGCGUAGGCGGAAUGAUAAGUCAGUGGUGAAAUCCUGCAGCUUAACUGCAGAACUGCCAUUGAUACUGUCAAUCUUGAGUACAUUUGAUGUGGGCGGAAUGUGUCAUGUAGCGGUGAAAUGCUUAGAUAUGACAUAGAACACCAAUUGCGAAGGCAGCUAUCUACAGGGAUAUUGACACUGAGGCACGAAAGCGUGGGGAUCAAACAGG